GCUCAACCAGGCAACUCUACUUCAAACUGUGGGUGCAUCUGGACCUGGAUCCUCACUGCAGAUUGGGCUCAGGUCUAUCCACGAAUUUUCAUUCUCUGCCUGGAGGAAGGGACAGCAGCUCCCCAGGGGAAACUCUUCUCAGGAAAUACAGAGAUGUAAGAGAUCAAGUCACACUGUGCAAGCACGUUUCUCGCUCUUGCUUCUAUCAUCUGCUUUCACAUCCCAUGGGCCACAGCAGGUCGUGUGGCUGAGCCCACAGUCAAGGGGAAGGAAAUUGCACGCCACUUCCAGUGAGGGGAACUGCAGAGUCAUCUGGUAAAAGGAUAAGGAAGGGAUGAGGAAUUAAGGCCAAGAACUCAACAUACCGCCAUUACUCUGUAUCCUAGGAUGGAACUCAACAUAUCCCCAUUACUCUGUAUUCUAGAACAGAACUCUAUAUAUGACUAGUACUCUGUAUCUUAGAGUGAGAAACAUUCAGAGGCCCCAUGCAGGAGAGGGGAUGAAGGACAGGAAUGAAAGGAUAGAGAAGCCAGCAAGAUGCUGCCUUCUGCAUCCUGUUGGUCCUCACCCUCCCUGUGAACCACCAGCUCAGCCUCUCCACCUUCCUGGCAGCAGGCAGCAGACACUGUUCCAGGGGUCAGAGUGGCGUCCAGCAUCAGCAGCUUGACACGUGAACGCAGCGCCUGCCAUCCUGCCUCCCUGCCUGAAGAAUUGUAAUCCAGGAUCCCUGUGGGGUUAGGAAAACACAUUUCUCCAGGAUGGCCUGAAGGUGGCGCUGUUGCAGCUGGUCCGUGACAGACCAUCUUUCUCUGUCCAGUUCUGCACAUGGGAAGUGGCCACCCCAGUCUGAAGGGACACUUCCUGCUGUUCCAUCAUCACCUUGCUGGACAGAACCUUAUUGCCCAGCUGCUGAUUCAGCUGUCCCCUGACCAGGCGCUCAUCCCUGAUCCUUUGGCUGGAGCUCAGGAACUCGCCCCUGGUUGGAGGAAGGAACAGCUUUCUGACAAGUACCAUGUGCUUUGCCACCCACCAACCUUCAGCACCCUGCAGCAUUGACCUUUAGCAAAGGUGAAGCUAAUCAAGUCAUUCCCCUUCCAGAAACUCCUACAGGACCGACAAGUCUCUGCAUAGUCUGAGCACUGCCCACCUCACCAGCCCAUCACCAGCUGCUCCUUUCCUUAUGCCUGGGACUCCUGGCUCACUGGCCCCCAUCCAGCUCCUGGAGUACAUCAUGUGCCGUCCUGCAUCAGUGUCUGUGCACAUUGUUGCCUCUUCUACCAGGGCCACUGCAUCACACGACCCAGGAGCACAGUGAUUCUGUGGUAAUGGCGCCCCUGGAGUUGUGCAGUGGAGCAGAUCUUACCACUUGGCCUUCUCCCAGCUCAGGUUCUCGCCUUCAGAACUCAGCUCAGCACUGCGUUGAAAGUCUCUCGUGAUCCGACCAGGUCAGCUGCCUGAUGCUUGCUUCCAUUAUUACUAAUUCUGUGUGGCACUCACCCCAGUGCUAAACACAUCAUUCAUUGUAUAAUAAUUUUAAGGCAGCUUCAUUGAGAUAUAAUUUGUAUAUUUGUAACAUUCACCCCUUUCUGGUGUACAGAUCUAUGAGUUUGCAGAAACAUACAGUUGUGGUACCAGCACCUCAAUCAGGAUAUAGAAUAUUUCUAUACCCCAGAAAGUUCUCUCAUGACCCCCAGGGUGAACCCACACACACACACCCAAGUUCCUAGAACCACCGUUCAGAUUUCUAUAACAACAGUUUUGCAUUUCACAAAAUGCCAUAUAAAUGAAAUCUAUAGUAUGCAG